UCAAUAAAUAAUGAUCGGGGCCCUAUUAGCUUUUGUAAUUGGAAUAAGAACAAUUUAAAUACCUUAACGAGGAACAAUUAGAGGGCAAGUCUGGUGCCAGCAGCCGCGGUAAUUCCAGUUCUGAUAGUAUAUAUUAAAGUUGUUGCAGUUAAAAAGCUCGUAGUUGAAACUUGGGUGCGUAGGGGCGGUCUCUUUUAGAGUACUACCCUGAAACAUCUUUCUUUGGUGUAAACUUUCUAUUUAUUUAGGAAGUGUAAACCAAACAUUUACUUUGAAAAAAUUAGAGUGUUCAAAGCAGGCCUUUGCUCGAAUAUAUUAGCAUGGAAUAAUAGAAUAGGACGUAUGGUUCUAUUUUGUUGGUUUCUAGGACCGUCGUAAUGAUUAAUAGGGACGGUCGGGGGCAUCAGUAUUCAGUUGUCAGAGGUGAAAUUCUUGGAUUUACUGAAGACUAACUACUGCGAAAGCAUUUGCCAAGGACGUUUUCAUUAAUCAAGAACGAAAGUUAGGGGAUCGAAGACGAUCAGAUACGUCG
rnacentral:rRNA from 1 species